rnacentral:rRNA from 1 species
UAAUACGUAGGGGGCGAGCGUUGUCCGGAUUUAUUGGGCGUAAAGAGCUCGUAGGCGGUUCCGCAAGUCGGAUAUGAAAUCUCCACGCUCAACGUGGAGGGGUUAUUCGAUACUGCGGUGACUAGAGUCCGGUAGGGGAGUGUGGAAUUCCCGGUGUAGCGGUGAAAUGCGCAGAGAUCGGGAGGAACACCCGUAGCGAAGGCGGCACUCUGGGCCGUGACUGACGCUGAGGAGCGAAAGCGUGGGUAGCGAACAGGAUUAGAUACCCUGGUAGUCCACGCCGUAAACGUUGGGCACUAGGUGUGGGACUCUAUCGACGGGUUCCGUGCCGCAGCUAACGCAUUAAGUGCCCCGCCUGGGGAGUACGGCCGCAAGGCUA